GUGAGGAAUUUUCCGCAAUGGGCGAAAGCCUGACGGAGCAAUGCCGCGUGAAGGAUGAAGGCCUAUGGGUUGUAAACUUCUUUUCUCAGAAAAGAAUUAUGACGGUAUCUGAGGAAUAAGCAUCGGCUAACUCUGUGCCAGCAGCCGCGGUAAGACAGAGGAUGCAAGCGUUAUCCGGAAUGAUUGGGCGUAAAGCGUCUGUAGGUUGUUUAAAAAGUAUUCUGUCAAAGAUUAGGGCUUAACCCUAGAUAGGCAGAAUAAACUUUUAAGCUAGAGUUUGGUAGAGGCAGAUGGAAUUCCCGGUGGAGCGGUGAAAUGCGUAGAUAUCGGGAGGAACACCAAAGGCGAAGGCACUCUGCUGGGCCAAUACUAACACUGAGAGACGAAAGCGAGGGGAGCAAAUGGGAUUAGAUACCCUUGUAGUCC
rnacentral:rRNA from 1 species